rnacentral:tRNA from 1 species
GGGCUCGUGGUCUAGUGGUUAUGACAUCACCCUUACCCGGUGGAGGUCGCCGGUUCGAAUCCGGCCGGGCCCA